rnacentral:rRNA from 1 species
GACGAACGCUGGCGGCGUGCUUAACACAUGCAAGUCGAACGGAAAGGCCCUGCUUUUGUGGGGUGCUCGAGUGGCGAACGGGUGAGUAACACGUGAGUAACCUGCCCUUGACUUUGGGAUAACUUCAGGAAACUGGGGCUAAUACCGGAUCGGAGCUCCUGCUGCGUGGUGGGGGUUGGAAAGUUUCGGCGGUAGGGGCUGGACGCGCGGCUUAUCGGCUUGUUGGUUGGGUAGUGGUUGACCAACGCAUUGACGGGUAGGCCGCCUGAGAGGGGGACCGGGCACAAGGGGACUGAGAGAGGGACCAGUCGGCUACAGGAGGCAACAGGGGGGAAUCUUGCACAACGGGCCGAAGCCUGUGGCAACAACGUCGCGGGUGUGAUGACGUCCUUUGGGGUGAGAACAGCUGUAGGUUGAUACGAAGCGGGAGUGACGGUAACGGAUAAAGAAGCACCGGCUAACUACGUG